CUCCCGGAUGAGAUGGUAAUAUGGGAGAUCCUCGUCCGCCUAUCUCCCAAAUCGCUCCUUCGCUGCCGCGCCGUCUGCCGUGCCUGGCGCAGGGCCACCUCCACUCAGGACUUUCUCCUCGCCCAUCACGCCCGCCAGCCUAUCCUUCCCCUACUCGAAAAUGGCGAUGAGUUAGACAUCUUGGACCAUCGGCCAACCCGGGCUACCGCGGACCAGUUUCAGUCCAUUGACAUAUGUGGCCAAAACUUCUUGAAUUUGGGUGACGACUUCGCUUUCUUCAAUCUGGUUGCCUCUUGCGAUGGCAUGCUCAUCCUCCGCAUCGACGGCACCAAGUUCUUCGUCUGCAAUCCGACGACUCGUCAGUAUGCUCGCCUGCCAUUGUAUCUCGGUCAUAAAUGGACGCUCCUAGGAAUGUACCCUCACUCCCCUACCGGCGAGUACAGAGUACUUCUCUACUUGUCCAGCCCUGACGCAGACCAUAAGCCGACACCUGGCAGUUACGUCUUGGCGCUGGGCUCCGGCCAGCCCCCAAGGCACAUCGGGUGGCCAGAUGCGAUUAAUCUCGAAUUGGAACCUCAUGUGCUAUUCCGUGGUAGCCUGUAUUGGUACCCAACGGAUGUUGAGAGCGAAAAUAAAACGAUAUAUGUGUUCAACACCACAUCUGAGUCGGUCCGGGAGAUGUGUUCUCCGGUUGUUACUGAUUGCGCUAACCUGUUUGAGAAGGACGGCAUGCUCGGCAUGGCCAUCGUUGAUUAUAUGAAAACCGUUGAUAUAUGGUUGUUGCAAGACUUCGAGAGGGAGGUUUGGACCUUCAAUUGCCGGAUUGAAUUGCCGGUUCAACAGAUAAGGAUGCAGUGCGACAGGUGUGACAGCCGGUUGCCGUGGAAAUUGGUGGUCGUGCCAGGGGAUGAUGAGUUGCUUGUGUUGAUCAAAUUUGGCGAGUGGCUAUUUCAUGUUGGCAAUGGUGGCAAGUUGGUCGCAACUUUUCAUCGCAAAAAUGUCGAUCCUACUCACUUUCAGCUCAAACAAACUCUUGUUUCACAUACCUUCUUU
rnacentral:rRNA from 1 species